UGGGGAAUUUUGCACAAUGGGGGAAACCCUGAUGCAGCGACGCCGCGUGAUUUAGAAGGCCUUCGGGUUGUAAAAAUCUUUUCUAUGGGAAGAAAAUGACAGUACCAUAGGAAUAAGGACCGGCUAAUUACGUGCCAGCAGCCGCGGUAAUACGUAAGGUCCGAGCGUUGUCCGGAAUUACUGGGCGUAAAGAGCUCGUAGGCGGUUUGUCACGUCGUCUGUGAAAUCCUAGGGCUUAACCCUGGACGUGCAGGCGAUACGGGCUGACUUGAGUACUACAGGGGAGACUGGAAUUUCUGGUGUAGCGGUGGAAUGCACAGAUAUCAGGAAGAACACCGAUGGCGAAGGCAGGUCUCUGAGUAGUAACUGACGCUGAGGAGCGAAAGCAUGGGUAGCGAACAGG
rnacentral:rRNA from 1 species